CCAGCCGCCCCAAACACCCUUGCACGCACUCGACCAGCACACACGCACCGCUCACGGACUCCCCCGCUCGGCUCCUCACGCACGCACGCACACGCUGCGCCGCCGAGCUCCACACGCAUGCCCGCCCCGCCGCCACAGCAGCUCCGCACCCAUGCCGUCCACAGCAGCAGCUCCGCACCCAUGCCGUCCGCAGCAGCAGCUCCGCACCCAUGACGUCCGCCGCAACCAGGUCGGCAACCUCUAGAUCCGCGCCCCUGCCAGCCGCCGCCACUGAUUCGGCGCCCUCUGUCUCCAGCCCGCGACGGUCGCGCCCCCUUCCCAGCCCGCCGACGGCCACACCCUUCUCUCCCCAUGGGGAUUUGAAUUGACGGCGGUGGGAUCUCGAGAUCUCGAUCCCGGCACAAAGAACUUCGAUUUAGGUAAUCGAGAUUUGGAUUUACAGCAGUAGGAUCUCGGGAUCUCGAUUCCGGCAUGAAAAAACUCGAUUUAGGUAAUGGCGAUUUGGAUUGGGGCACUAAGAAACUGGGGUUUGGCUGAUGGGAUCUUGGCAUUGGGGAACUCGAUUUCGACGGGAUGAUGUUCAAUCCGGUGUUUAUAGUCGGUGUGGAUUAGGCCCCGUGCGUGUAUGGUGUAGGAGGAGGGAGUCUCGUCAUGUGAUUUUAUUUACUACUUGUUUAGUAUAUAUUAUAUUUCACAUAUUUAGAGAUUGGAAUCAUAAAGUUAGUUGUUUCAUGAUUACAGUUCCCUCUAGUUCGUGUAACUAAUCUGUCAAUUAGUCAAUUAGCCUAGUUCCUGAUUACACACUCUUUUUUAUGUUUUAUGUCAGGCCCUUGAGCAGGUUACUCUGUUGCUCUGAAUUUUAAGUUGUGUAUUUUGGUAACACUAGCCGCGCUCCCCAUGGAGUGUGUGCUUAUUUUUUUUUUGUUUUACCUUCUUAAUAAAUGUACCAGAUUUGAACUUUAAAUUUUAUUAAAUGAAUUAAUAGUAUUAAAAUUUAAUUUAUGGCAAGGUUUACUACACUUAGUAUGUUGGAGCUUUUUAGAGCACGUUGGAGUUAGUCCUUACAUUUAAAAUGAAAAGCUGAACUUAGAGAUUAUCCAUUGAUGAUAUAUGAGGAUUUUGAAGUUGAACUAAGUUCUCAUGAUUAAUAUUCACAGCAAAAGCAUAAUCAGAAGUUGAAACAGUUCCUCAAAAUUUCAUUACAAGGAUAUUAUAUCGAGGUACCUGAGUACUUAUAUAGUUAUAUCAUUCUUUGGCUUGUCUAGUGUACAAGUAAUUCUCAAAGUUAAUUGGAUUGUUAUUUCAUCAGAUUUCUAGUCAACGCUCAGGGAUACGAUUGCAACACACGCGCCCAUGAAGAGUAGCGGCAAGGCAGAAAUCAUAAAUUAUCUAACCUGAAAUUUAUCACUUCCAUAGAGAUCAGUUAUAGGACACGUGGCAAAAUAAUAAGCUUGGUUGUUUGGUGCAGAUUUCGUAUAGUAAGAGAUUGGUUAACAGAAGAUGAGAUCAACAGAGCAGAACCUGUCGGAUGGGACCCAAAGCACCUUAGUGACCCUGAUCGUCUUCGCCGGUACUGCGGUCGUGCCUGCACUGCUUCGCCACGCCGGGAUCACAAGCUGGGGCGUCCCAACCCUCGCCGGCAUCGCACACUGGACCGUCACCGUGAGCCAUCUUCGGAGUCGUUUUUGUGUAUUGAACUUGUGAACUUGGAAUAAUGUGUACUUUUGAAUGUGUGGUUUGUAAUAUAUUAUGAAUUUCGUAUAAAUUUGGUCGUUUGUGAUAUAUAAAUAUAUAUAAAUAUAGUUUGUGAUA